AUAGCCUUUGUUUUGAGAGUUUGUCAUUUGGUUAUUCUUUUUUUUUUUACAGCAUGAGGUAACACAUGCCUCAUGACAGUUGUAGCUAGGCUUUGUGUAUAAACAAUUCUUUCACAUCUUUGUAACUAGAUUUUAGUGGAAUGGAAUAGAGGAUUUAUUCCUUCUCUCAAUAUUUCUUUCUCUACAUUAGUCGAACAUGGUAUCAGAGCUACAUUAGAUCCAAAUACUCGUUUUAUUCUGCA
rnacentral:lncRNA from 1 species